rnacentral:rRNA from 1 species
AGGACGAACGCUGGCGGCGUGCUUAACACAUGCAAGUCGAGCGGUAAGGCCUUUCGGGGUACACGAGCGGCGAACGGGUGAGUAACACGUGGGUGAUCUGCCCUGCACUUCGGGAUAAGCCUGGGAAACUGGGUCUAAUACCGGAUAUGACCUCAGGUUGCAUGACGUUGGGGUGGAAAGAUUUAGUCGGUGCAGGAGUGGGCCCGCGGCCUAUCGAGUCUUGGUUGGGUGGGUAAUGGCCUACAACGGCGACGACGGGUAGCCGACCUGGAGAGGGUCGACCGGCACGACGUGGACUGGA